CAUGUCUUUAAGCUGAGGAGCGAGUGGAUCAGAGAGCAGCUGACCUCACAGAGCCAUGGUUCAGUGACUCAUUCAGACAUGUCCUUGAGUAGUUGUUCUGGAUUUCCUCGAUGGUAGCAAGGUGAACUCAUGAGGUGCUGGUCCAGAAAAGAACACGAGUGACUAUGCCCAUUGUCACUGCUCAGAAGUGUUCUGGAAUCUUGUUUCCCGCCCUGAAAUAAGUUGAUGGCAGUUAUGGCAUGGGCUGAUCUACCCAGUCAGCAAGGCCAGAUUGCAGAGAAACUCAGAGUCUAGGAAAAUGAAUGUCUAGGAACAUUCCUCAAAUAGUCCUACCAGAAGACACAAAGAUGAUGCAUCCGGAUGAAGAAUAUAUCACUGAGAUUAAUGGCCCUGGGUUGCAGCCAAAAGCAUCUCAGAGGUAGAACACUGUUGCAGAUGGUGAUGUUACCAUUUGAAAGUAAGAAGAAAACUAGUAUCUCUUUACACC
rnacentral:lncRNA from 1 species